GACGAACCGUGCGAACGUUGUUCGGAAUCACUGGGCAUAAAGGGCGCGUAGGCGGCUUAUCAAGUCAGGGGUGAAAUCCGGCAGCUCAACUGUCGAAGUGCCUUUGAUACUGAUGAGCUCGAGGGAGGUAGGGGUGUGCGGAACUUCCGGUGGAGCGGUGAAAUGCGUUGAUAUCGGAAGGAACGCCGGUGGCGAAGGCGGCAUCCUGGACCAACACUGACACUGAGGAGCGAAAGCCAGGGGAGCAAACGGG
rnacentral:rRNA from 1 species